rnacentral:rRNA from 1 species
GGUGAACCUGCGGAAGGAUCAUUAAUGAAAUGCAAGGACGCUCUUUUUAGAGGUCCGACCCAAAUCAUUUUCCUUUACACUGUGCACAUACUACUUUUUUACACCAAUUUUUAACACAUCAGUUUUAAGAAUGUAAAUCAAGUCUCGAAAGAGCAAUAAAUAAAACAAAACUUUCAGCAACGGAUCUCUUGGCUCUCGCAUCGAUGAAGAACGCAGCGAAAUGCGAUACGUAAUGUGAAUUGCAGAAUUCAGUGAAUCAUCGAAUCUUUGAACGCACCUUGCACUCUUUGGUAUUCCGAAGAGUAUGUCUGUUUGAGUGUCAUGAAACUCUCAACCCCCUCAUUUUGUAAUGAAGUGUAGCGUGGGCUUGGAUUAUGGCUGUCUGUCGGCUUAACCGCCGGCUCAGCUGAAAUACACGAGCAACCCAGUUUAAAACCCUGACGGCUUGACUCGGCGUAAUAAUUAUUUCGCUGAGGACGUCUAACCUUUAAAUCGUUAGUGGUGCUUCUAAUGCAUUAUUCAUUUAAGCUUUAGACCUCAAAUCAGGCAGGACUACCCGCUGAACUUAAGCAUAUCAAUAAGCGGAGGAA